AGUGAACGCUGGCGGUAGGCCUAACACAUGCAAGUCGAACGGCAGCACAGUAAGAGCUUGCUCUUACGGGUGGCGAGUGGCGGACGGGUGAGGAAUACAUCGGAAUCUACUUUUUCGUGGGGGAUAACGUAGGGAAACUUACGCUAAUACCGCAUACGACCUACCGGUGAAAGCAUGGGAUCUUCGGACCUGGCGCGGGUGAAUGCGCCGGUGUCUGAUUAGCUAGUUGGCGGGGUAGUGGCCCACCAAGGCGACGAUCGGUAGCAGGUCUGAGAGGGUGACCGGCAACAUUGGGACUGAGAGACGGCCCAGACGCCGACGGGAGGCAGCAGUGGGGAAUAUUGCACAAUGGGCGGAAGCCGGAUGCAGCAACGCCGCGUGCGGGAUGACGGCUUUCGGGUUGUAAACCGCUUGCGCCUGGGACGAAGCGUGAGUGACGGUAAUGGGGAAAGAAGCACCGGCUAACUACGUG
rnacentral:rRNA from 1 species